GAUGAACGCUGGCGGCGUGCCUAAUACAUGCAAGUCGAGCGAACGGACGAGAAGCUUGCUUCUCUGAUGUUAGCGGCGGACGGGUGAGUAACACGUGGAUAACCUACCUAUAAGACUGGGAUAACUUCGGGAAACCGGAGCUAAUACCGGACAAUAUUUUGAACCGCAUGGUUCAAAAGUGAAAGACGGUCUUGCUGUCACUUAUAGAUGGAUCCGCGCUGCAUUAGCUAGUUGGUAAGGUAACGGCUUACCAAGGCAACGAUGCAUAGCCGACCUGAGAGGGUGAUCGGCCGCACUGGAACUGAGACACGGUCCAGACUCCUACGGGAGGCAGCAGUAGGGAAUCUUCCGCAAUGGGCGAAAGCCUGACGGAGCAACGCCGCGUGAGUGAUGAAGGUCUUCGGAUCGUAAAACUCUGUUAUUAGGGAAGAACAUAUGUGUAAGUAACUGUGCACAUCUUGACGGUACCUAAUCAGAAAGCCACGGCUAACUACGUG
rnacentral:rRNA from 1 species